ACCGGCAAACGGGUGCGGAACACGUACGCAACCUUCCUUUAAGCGGGGAAUAGCCCAGGGAAACUUGGAUUAAUACCCCAUAAGAUAAUCGGGUGGCAUCACCUGACUAUUAAAGCUCCGGCACUUAAAGAUGGGCGUGCGGCUGAUUAGGUAGUUGGCGGGGUAACGGCCCACCAAGCCGACGAUCAGUAACUGGUGUGAGAGCACGACCAGUCACACGGGCACUGAGACACGGGCCCGACUCCUACGGGAGGCAGCAGUAAGGAAUAUUGGUCAAUGGACGCAAGUCUGAACCAGCCAUGCCGCGUGGAGGAUGAAGGCCCUCUGGGUUGUAAACUUCUUUUAUUGGGGAAGAAACCGGUUUUUUCUAAAGCCGUUGACGGUACCCAUUGAAUAAGCACCGGCUAACUCCGUGCCAGCAGCCGCGGUAAUACGGAGGGUGCAAGCGUUAUCCGGAUUCACUGGGUUUAAAGGGUGCGUAGGUGGACAGGUAAGUCAGUGGUGAAAUCUCUAAGCUUAACUUAGAAAACUGCCCGUUGA
rnacentral:rRNA from 1 species